rnacentral:misc_RNA from 1 species
UCCAUUUCCCUUCAAAAUGACAAGCAGGAUUGCUACAUUGACAUUUGCUCCCCAGAAGUUCUGAGCCUUUUCACGGAUAAUUUUGACUAUCAACAUUUGCGGCGUGAUUUCGUCAAGGGGUUGCUCGUCGAUGAUAUAAUGGGUUAUAAAAUCUACAGUCAUGAAAUUCAUUCAAGUUAUGCGGCUAGAAUUGACAACUAUAGAAGUUACCACACCAUUAGCAAGGACAUAAUUCAGCGGUGGACAUAUCCCUUGGUGCCUGAUGUCCAGUUUUUUGGAAAUUCUGCUACUAAAUUGGAAAGGCAGGGCAUGUAUCGAGCACCUGAAAUUAAGCAAUCCAGCUCAUCGAAAAUUGGUCCCUUUACUGUCAUUGGGUCUGGAACCAGUAUUGGGAACAACACAGAGAUUUCAAAUUCAGUUGUUGGGGAAGGUUGCUCGAUUGGGUCAAAUGUCACUAUAGAAAACUGCUAUAUAUGGCAUAAUGUCACUAUUGAAGAUGGCUGCAAACUGAAGCACUCAAUAGUUUGCGACGGUGUGACAAUGAAGUCUGGAGCAGCUUUAGAGCCUGGUGUCGUCUUGUCUUUUAAGGUUGUGAUUGGCAGGAAUUUCCUUGUACCUGCUUACUCCAAGGUAUCUUUGCAUCAGCAACCAAUCAAGCAAGAUAGUGAUGAGGAACUGGAAUAUGCUGACAAUAGUAGUGGGAUCACUGAAAGUCCAUCUGUCUCUGGUACUUCGGACCUGUUGAAUGAGGAAGAGAGGACUGAGCUACCUGACUCGCAAGAGUAUGAGGUUGGUGAUGGUGGAGUAGGUUUCAUAUGGCUAGUCAGUGAGGCUGGACAGGAAGAAGAAUGGAGACACUCUGUUGCACCAAUUCCUGUGGAUAAACUUGUUGAGAUCAUGCAAAUCUCUAAUGAUGAAACGGAUUUACCAAAUGAAGAUGGUGCUUUUCUUCCACCUUCUGGAGAACUGGGACCUGAUUCUAUUACUAAUGAUUCCAAUGAAGACGCUGAAGACAUUAGAGAUGACUCUGUGAUUUUUGAAAGAGAAGUUGAAGCAACUUUUCAAAGGGCUGUAGAGGAAGAUGUAACAGAUGACCAUGUAAUCUUAGAAGUUAAUUCGUUGCGGUUGUCAUACAAUAUGGCAUCUGCAGAUUGUGCAGGAGCUUUAUUUUAUUCAGUGAUGAAAUUGGCACUGGAUGCUCCACAUGACUCGCCUAAUGAAUUGUACAAGAAUGUUGUCUCCACGGUUAGGAAAUGGAAAAAGCUUCUGAAAUAUUACUUGUCAAGCAUUGAUGAAGAGAUUGAAGUAAUUUUGAAGUUUGAAGAAAUGUGCUUGGAGUCUGCCAGGGAAUAUUCUCCAUUAUUUGUACAGAUUUUGCAUCAUCUGUACGAUCAGGAUAUUAUACAAGAAGAGGCAAUACUUGACUGGGCCUCUGAAAAGGAAGGAGCAGAGGAGUCAGAUAAGAUUUUUGUCAAGCAAUCAGAAAAAUUUAUUCAGUGGCUCAAGGAAGCAUCUGAAGAAGAGGACGAGGAUUGACACAGUUACUCGGGACCCCGUAAGUUUAAAGCUGUUCUAACUACCUACAGAUACCUGACAGUUUGCCCUUGGAUGAACGUGGUACUCACCACUCAGAAACCUGACACAGCUGAGAAUCAAAACCUUAACCUCCUCCAGCGUAUAGUCCGAAUGUGUCAGUUAUACCCUUUUUCGUCACUUGUAUGAUCAUCAAAUAAUUCAUCUAUAGUGAAACUGAGGUGCCAUUUAGUCUGUAGUCUCUUCUGUAGCAAUUGCAGAGGUCAGUUUUGUUUCAAUAGAAUUGUCUCGAGGAAACUUCGACAUGUCAACUGUGUGCGGAAAUGUCAAGUAGUGAAGGAUUAGUUGCAAUGAAGCUUAAGAUGUUGGAGGGAGACACUGUUUCCUACUCGGUAAUUGUCAGUUCUAUGCCAUAAAACAACAUUUGAGCUUCUAUAUAUUAUUUUUUUCUCUGGACCCAUAGAACAGCUUUGUUGUAACUAAGACACCUGUUGGUGUCUUCUUGAGUAUCUG